rnacentral:lncRNA from 1 species
UAACCCUCUCCAUGUCUCUCCUUACUCCCUACUCGCUCACCACCACCCCAUCAUCCUUCUUUUAACACCGUAAACUUCCACACUUCCACUCUUUGGUCAAUCCCUCUCAUAUUUUAAUUGCUGUUGUUGUUAAAAACAUCAAUUAUUUUUUAUGAACAGGAAUACCACAAACAUCAAUUGAACAAGAAAAUUAAUUAGGAAGAAUAUGAAGUAUUUAAUUUGACGAUGAUGGAGAAUACGGUGGUGGGGAUGGAGGAUGUCGGCGGCGGCGGAAGAGAUGAGAGAACGGAAAGAGGAAGAAAAUGUUUUUUU